GGCCUGAUAGCACAACUGGAUAGUGCAUCACCUAACUAUUGUAAUGAGAGCUGGUAGGAGAUGGAGGAUCCCUGUUCGACUCAGGGUCAGGCCG